UAGGGAAUCUUCCGCAAUGGGCGAAAGCUUGACGGAGCAACGCCGCGUGAGUGAUGAAGGUCUUCGGAUCGUAAAACUCUGUUAUUAGGGAAGAACAAAUGUGUAAGUAACUAUGCACGUCUUGACGGUACCUAAUCAGAAAGCCACGGCUAACUACGUGCCAGCAGCCGCGGUAAUACGUAGGUGGCAAGCGUUAUCCGGAAUUAUUGGGCGUAAAGCGCGCGUAGGCGGUUUUUUAAGUCUGAUGUGAAAGCCACGGCUCAACCGUGGAGGGUCAUUGGAAACUGGAAAACUUGAGUGCAGAAGAGGAAAGUGGAAUUCCAUGUGUAGCGGUGAAAUGCGCAGAGAUAUGGAGGAACACCAGUGGCGAAGGCGACUUUCUGGUCUGUAACUGACGCUGAUGUGCGAAAGCGUGGGGAUCAAACAGG
rnacentral:rRNA from 1 species